ACUUUCAAUCUCACUUUCUCACUCCCACUUCUCCACCAUCCCUCGACUCCCUUGACUCGACUCUAACGACAUCCCAGAGAAUGCCCAUGACUGCCGCUACAACCAACACAACGACACCACCACCACCCAUCCAGCCAUCCUCCGACCUCGACGACAUCUGUUACUUCGUCGGCUAUCGGGAUUUGCGAGAUUUGUGAACAUAAGAGAUGGAGGCGGUGCAACCCCAUUGCAUUUAGCAACCAGCCAAAGACGGCCAGAGCGAGUUCAUGUUCUUUUAGACAAUGGGGCUCUUGUUUGUGCUUCAGCUGGUGGAUAUGGCUACCCUGGAAGUACAUCGCUUCAAUUAGCUGCUCAUGCUGGAUCCUUAGAUUGUGUCAGAGAGUUGCUUGCUUAGGGAGCGGAUCGGCUUCAAAAAGGCUUUUUUUGGGUAACUUUCUUUAAUCUAUGAAUUUGGACGAUGUGUUAUUAUUUUGGAUGAUGUAUUGUUAUUUUGGAUGAUGUCAUGUAAUAUUGUUAUUUUGGACUCUCGAAAUUUGGAUGUGUUGUUAUUUUGGA